AGGAGGAACAGCCCCAGUGGCGGGGCAGCUCUGGAACCUGGAUUCAGCUCCGGCAGGAACUCCGUCUGCAGGGCCUGGAGGCUCCGGGGCGGG
rfam:Canis lupus familiaris chromosome 10, whole genome shotgun sequence.